GGAUGUGAGGGCGCUCUGGAUGUGACAUCUGUCACCCCCUUAAUUGUCAGGGUUGAUUUGGCUGAUCUGGCUGACUGGAUGGGGGUCCCCUUCCUCCUUCCGUGCUCCAUGCGCAUCCCUCCUGAAGGUGCAUGCUUGGUCUAAGAGGACGACCACCCCUGAUAGAGGAGGCUCUUUGCUCGGUCAAGCAUAUAUGAGUAGCUCGCUCUCCUACCAGAAACUCCAAACAAGCUCUAAAGAACUCAGCAUGAGACUCUUCUCUCUCC
rnacentral:snRNA from 1 species